rnacentral:rRNA from 1 species
UUAAGAGCUUGCUCUUAUGAAGUUAGCGGCGGACGGGUGAGUAACACGUGGGUAACCUGCCCAUAAGACUGGGAUAACUCCGGGAAACCGGGGCUAAUACCGGAUAACAUUUUGAACCGCAUGGUUCGAAAUUGAAAGGCGGCUUCGGCUGUCACUUAUGGAUGGACCCGCGUCGCAUUAGCUAGUUGGUGAGGUAACGGCUCACCAAGGCAACGAUGCGUAGCCGACCUGAGAGGGUGAUCGGCCACACUGGGACUGAGACACGGCCCAGACUCCUACGGGAGGCAGCAGUAGGGAAUCUUCCGCAAUGGACGAAAGUCUGACGGAGCAACGCCGCGUGAGUGAUGAAGGCUUUCGGGUCGUAAAACUCUGUUGUUAGGGAAGAACAAGUGCUAGUUGAAUAAGCUGGCACCUUGACGGUACCUAACCAGAAAGCCACGGCUAACUACGUGCCAGCAGCCGCGGUAAUACGUAGGUGGCAAGCGUUAUCCGGAAUUAUUGGGCGUAAAGCGCGCGCAGGUGGUUUCUUAAGUCUGAUGUGAAAGCCCACGGCUCAACCGUGGAGGGUCAUUGGAAACUGGGAGACUUGAGUGCAGAAGAGGAAAGUGGAAUUCCAUGUGUAGCGGUGAAAUGCGUAGAGAUAUGGAGGAACACCAGUGGCGAAGGCGACUUUCUGGUCUGUAACUGACACUGA